AGUGAACGCUGGCGGUAGGCCUAACACAUGCAAGUCGAACGGCAGCACAGUAAGAGCUUGCUCUUACGGGUGGCGAGUGGCGGACGAGUGAGGAAUACAUCGGAAUCUACUUUUUCGUGGGGGAUAACGUAGGGAAACUUACGCUAAUACCGCAUACGACCUACGGGUGAAAGCAGGGGAUCUUCGGACCUUGCGCGAUUGAAUGAGACGAUGUCGGAUUAGCUAGUUGGCGGGGUAAAGGCCCACCAAGGCGACGAUCCGUAGCUGGUCUGAGAGGAUGAUCAGCCACACUGGAACUGAGACACGGUCCAGACUCCUACGGGAGGCAGCAGUGGGGAAUAUUGGACAAUGGGCGCAAGCCUGAUCCAGCCAUACCGCGUGGGUGAAGAAGGCCUUCGGGUUGUAAAGCCCUUUUGUUGGGAAAGAAAAGCAGCAGGUUAAUACCCCGCUGUUCUGACGGUACCCAAAGAAUAAGCACCGGCUAACUUCGUG
rnacentral:rRNA from 1 species